rnacentral:rRNA from 1 species
CACGUAGGGGGCGAGCGUUGUCCGGAUUUAUUGGGCGUAAAGAGCUCGUAGGCGGCUCGGUAAGUCAGGUGUGAAAACUCUAGGCUCAACCUAGAGACGCCACCUGAUACUGCCGUGGCUAGAGUCCGGUAGGGAGCAUGGAAUUCCUGUGUAGCGUGAAUGCGCAGAUAUCAGGAGGAACACCAGUGGCGAAGCGUGCUCUGGCCGGAACUGACGCUGAGAGCGAAGCGUGGGAGCAACAGG